UAAGGAAUAUUGGACAAUGGAGGCAACCCUGAUCCAGCCAUGCCGCGUGAAGGAAUAAGGCCCUAUGGGUUGUAAACUUCCUUUAGACGGGACAAAACCCCUUUACGUGUAAAGGGUUGAUGGUACUGUCAGAAUAAGCAUCGGCUAACUUCGUGCCAGCAGCCGCGGUAAUACGAAGGAUGCAAGCGUUAUCCGGAAUUAUUGGGUUUAAAGGGUGCGUAGGCGGACUAAUAAGUCAGUGGUGAAAGCCUGCAGCUUAACUGCAGAAUUGCCAUUGAUACUGUUAGUCUUGAGUACAGUUGAGGUAGGCGGAAUGUGUCAUGUAGCGGUGAAAUGCUUAGAUAUGACACAGAACACCGAUUGCGAAGGCAGCUUGCUAAGCUGUAACUGACGCUGAGGCACGAAAGCGUGGGGAGCAAACA
rnacentral:rRNA from 1 species